GUGCGUCCGUACGUCUGUGCGUCCGUUCAGGUUAAAGUUUUUGGUCAAGGUAGUUUUUGAUGAAGCUGAAGUCCAAUCAACUUGAAACUUAAUACACUUGUUGCUUAUGAACUUUUUAAUUUUAUAGCCAAAUUAGACUUUUGACCCCAAUUUCACGGUCCACUGAACAUAGAAAAUGAAAGUGGGAAUUUCAGGUUAAAGUUUUUGGUCAAGGUAGUUUUUGAUAAAAUUGAAGUCCAAUCAGCUUGAAACUUAGUACAUAUGUUCCCUAUAGUAUAAUCUUUCUUAUUUUAAUGCCAAAUUAGAUUAUUACCAAAUU
rnacentral:lncRNA from 1 species